rnacentral:rRNA from 1 species
UGAGGUGGCGGACGGGUGAGUAACGCGUGGGCAACCUGGCCUGUACAGGGGGAUAACACUUAGAAAUAGGUGCUAAUACCGCAUAACGGGGGAAGCCGCAUGGCUUUUCCCUGAAAACUACCGGUGGUACAGGAUGGGCCCGCGUCUGAUUAGCCAGUUGGCAGGGUAACGGCCUACCAAAGCGACGAUCAGUAGCCGGCCUGAGAGGGCGGACGGCCANACUGGGACUGAGACACGGCCCAGACUCCUACGGGAGGCAGCAG